UACAGAGACUGCAAGCGUUAUUCGGAUUCACUGGGCGUAAAGGGUGCGCAGGCGGCCGUGUGUGUGAGGCGUGAAAGCCCGGGGCUUAACCCCGGAAUUGCACCUCAAACUACAUGGCUAGAGCAUUGGAGAGGGUAGCAGAAUUCAUGGUGUAGCAGUGAAAUGCGUAGAUAUCAUAGGAAUACCAGAGGCGAAGGCGGCUACCUGGACAAUUGCUGACGCUCAGGCACGAAAGCGUGGGGAGCAAAAGGG
rnacentral:rRNA from 1 species